CAAUAGGCAGUGGGACAGGUGCUGCAUGGCUGUCGUCAGCUCGUGUCGCGAGAUGUUGGGUUAAGUCCCGCAACGAGCGCAACCCUCGCCAUUAGUUGCCAUCAUUAAGUUGGGGCACUCUAGUGGGACUGCCGGUGAUAAGCCGGAGGAAGGUGGGGAUGACGUCAAGUCAUCAUGGCCCUUAUGGGCUGGGCUACACACGUGCUACAAUGGCGGUGACAAUGCGCAGCCACCUAGCAAUAGGGAGCUAAUCGCAAAAAGCCGUCUCAGUUCGGAUUGGGGUCUGCAACUCGACCCCAUGAAGUCGGAAUCGCUAGUAAUCGCGCAUCAGCACGGCCGCGGUCGAAUACGUUCCCGGGCCUU
rnacentral:rRNA from 1 species